UAGCCUGACUGGGACAUAUGACCUCAAAAGGACUGAGAGGAAGCCUGGUAGCAGGAUGAGCUGCCUACUUUUCUAAGUCACCUUAGGACAAAUAAGUCUCCAACAUGAGGAGGCAGGAACAAGAACACCUUAGCAUCCUCCAUGAACGUGUGCAGAUGGGAAGAGAUACGACCAAGAGAGGCCAGCACUGCUGUACUCAUCAGACUCUGAUCACAGAAAGCACGUUUCCAUCAAUGUCAUCUAUAGGCUAGCAUGAUGCCAGACAGCCUCAUCCAAAUUCAAGCCUGCCAUUCAUGAGUUUGGAACCAAUGACUUGGGAUCACUGUGAGUCAGUUUGUGCCUCUAUAUAAUGGAACAGUGAUACUUCUAUAUAGUGGGAUAGGUGGUACAUCUCAUAUGGAGCACUGUGAAAUACCAAAUAAAUUGAUACCUGACUAUAAAGUCCUGACAA